CGGCCUAGUCCAGGUUAGAUUCUUUCUUAACGAAAGAUAGAAAUAUUAAUACUGGUUCAAACGAAAGGUUAGUUUAUUAAUUUGUAUCAUUCCAUAUUACAAAGGAUCCCAUGAAAAUAAACAUAUCUUCAUAAGGGUCUCAUUCUGAAUUAAGUGGUUUGCAGUAAAAAAAUGUAUAUAAAAAGUUUGCCAAGACCUCCAAAAACAACAAAAAAUAAAAAUAAAAUUAUGAAAAGACAAUUAAAAAUCGCUGGCAAAAGUAGAAAUUUUUGUUUUCAAAAUCUAAUAUUGGUCAGGUGAGCUAUUGCUGUGUCAAUGAAUAGAAGCUCACAGAUUUCUUGAUAAUUAUGGUGAUUGUAGAUUGACGGGGGUGGAUUUAUGCAGUUUUAGCUUAAAACUUAAAUUUCUCGAUAAUUUUACUACAAAAUAUUUCUCGCCACGUUUUGCUUGGCAAGAUAUCUACAUUGCAGCCUCUCUAGAAGAAUAUUUCCAUAAUUUUGAUAAUUAUACCUCAAAAAAAUGUUUGCCUUGCUCUGCUCAGCAUAUAUUUCACUCCCUCCCCCCCCCCAAUCUAAAAUCCUGGAUCCGCCCCUGACCUCUCACUUGUAUGACAGUCACAUCAAAUUCCAUUAUAUUUACAAUGAUGCAUGAACAAAACAGACGUAAUAGGUAAAAUUGUCAAAAUUUGGGUACAGCAGUCAUCAAUCACUGUGAUAAGACCAUCGGUUUUCCUGUUUGAAUGUUUUUACACUAGUUAUUUUUGGGGCCCGUUAUAGCUUGCUUGGACCUAAACCUUACAUUUCCUUUUAUGCAUAUACACAUGUAGACAAAGUGACAGAACUAAAUUUAGUUCAAACUGAAAGUCUGCAUCUCAUAUCUUGAGUUUAUUAUAAAACAAUUAUAGUCAUAAAUGUAACAAAUGUUCAUAGUUUCCUGUUGAAAACACUUAUUUCUCAAAACAGUACAUAAAUUUGCAAGUUACAGAUCGUUUCAUUAACAAUUGAUUUCUAUUUUUUAAUCCAUAUUAUUCAUAUAACAGUCCAUCUUUAUUCCAAAUGGUAUUGCACUGCAAACUAAGAUGUCUUUCAAAUUGAAAACUUUCUCCAUUAAACCUGUUAAAGUUUGUUAUCGUUCAUCAAAUGGGAAGUGGAAGUUCUUUAACUUGUUCAUAACAUUCAUCAUACAAUUGUCGGUACUCAUCAUUUGGUUUAAUCAUCACCAUACAUGUCUGUCGCUUUGAACCACAUGCUGUUCCCAAAUCCUAAAAUAAAAUAAAAACAUAUUAAUUUUUAUUAAAAAAGUGUUGGAAUUAACAUUUAUAGAUUUGAGAUAAACUGUACUAUGAAAAAUAUAAAAGUUAGAACUGGUUCAUACUAAAA
rnacentral:lncRNA from 1 species